UAGACCCGAAACCCGGUGAUCUAGCCAUGGGCAGGUUGAAGGUUGGGUAACACUAACUGGAGGACCGAACCGACUAAUGUUGAAAAAUUAGCGGAUGACUUGUGGCUGGGGGUGAAAGGCCAAUCAAACCGGGAGAUAGCUGGUUCUCCCCGAAAGCUAUUUAGGUAGCGCCUCGUGAAUUCAUCUCCGGGGGUAGAGCACUGUUUCGGCAAGGGGGUCAUCCCGACUUACCAACCCGAUGCAAACUGCGAAUACCGGAGAAUGUUAUCACGGGAGACACACGGCGGGUGCUAACGUCCGUCGUGAAGAGGGAAACAACCCAGACCGCCAGCUAAGGUCCCAAAGUCAUGGUUAAGUGGGAAACGAUGUGGGAAGGCCCAGACAGCCAGGAUGUUGGCUUAGAAGCAGCCAUCAUUUAAAGAAAGCGUAAUAGCUCACUGGUCGAGUCGGCCUGCGCGGAAGAUGUAACGGGGCUAAACCAUGCACCGAAGCUGCGGCAGCGACGCUUAUGCGUUGUUGGGUAGGGGAGCGUUCUGUAAGCCUGCGAAGGUGUGCUGUGAGGCAUGCUGGAGGUAUCAGAAGUGCGAAUGCUGACAUAAGUAACGAUAAAGCGGGUGAAAAGCCCGCUCGCCGGAAGACCAAGGGUUCCUGUCCAACGUUAAUCGGGGCAGGGUGAGUCGACCCCUAAGGCGAGGC
rnacentral:rRNA from 1 species